CAUUUUGCUACAACAAUAAUUAUGCUUCUGGACCCUCGCCUGGUAAAAUGGAAAGCAUGUAAAAUGUAUGGACCCUUUUGAAGACAGUGGCCUACCCAGAAAUCCUGGAUAACCUUUUCAUCUGAAGGUCCUUAACUUAGUCCCAUUUAUGAAGGCUCCUUUGCCAUGUGAGGUAACAUAUUCACAGGUUCUGGGACCAGGAUGUGGGCAUCUUUGGGGAACCAUUAUUGUGCCUACCUCAUCUACCAUAGAUAAAAUGUUUGGGCCGAUAAGGAAAACAGAGACCAUGGGAACUCAAGAGAGCUUGGAGUUGGAGUAAGUCUCCAAACAAAGAAACAAAUAAACAAAAAACAGCUGUACUCUCUACCCAUUUCAAGUAAGUUAUGGCAACCUUGGCCUUCUGAGAAAAGAGGACUUUUUUUUUUUUUCAUAUUUUAGAGAAGAGCUCAAGAAAACAAACAAAUUUCCUACACUAGCUUGGUGUAACACUAGAGGAUUUAUAGGGAGCAACUUGGAUUUUAGGCAGCAUUACCACCCUAGAUUCUCCAGUAUCUGUAGGGUGACGAAGGAAAGCAUCUCUGAAUUCUCUGUGAAACAGAAAAUGGCUUGAGAAGUAUAACCUAAUUCAAAUGGGUCUCAUGAGUAGAGCAUACAGAACAGAGACCAAUGAUCUGAGACCUGUGUGUCAGUUGGGAGGAUGUCCAUUGUGAAGACAGGAUGAUCGAUGUUUGUCAAGUGGCUGUCAGUAUGCACAAGGGCUGAUGAUGCAGUGCUCAAUGAUGUGAUGCAACAUAAGCUCUCCAGGAGGCUAAUGCCCCUCUAGAGGAUAUGGGAGGGAAAAACUUGAAUUGACUCAGUAGUUCCUUGCAAUGACUAAGUUUAUUUGGAAUUAAGUUUUGUUUUGUUUUUUUUUCCAUUAGGCAGAAUAGAAGCUCAGAAUAGAGGUUAAACCAUAGUACUUUAUAAAGUUAAUUUUUGGUAUUCACACAGCUGAGUAUUAUAACUUAAACAUAUAUACCUGUACAUUUUUUAGAAAUCUUCAAAGUUUUAGGUAUAACCUCAGAGGGGCACUAGGAAAAUAUAGGACAUCAGUAAAGCUUCCUUAGCUCUCAUUCAUAAGCCUCUGUCUAGAUAUCCUGAUGACUUGCACUUACUGAAAAUUUAGUGCUCUAAAACUUGGCUCCAGCAAUAAGGUAUUUCUUCACUUAUAUAAUUAAAAGAUCCUGUGAGAAUGUGGGCUUUAGGGUUAGUUUGGUCAAAAUAUUACUUAAAUCAUGUCAUUGACGUGGAAGUCUUAUGGCUCUGUGGUCUCUGUUUUUUAAAAAAAAGUUUUAUUGAAGUAUAGUUGAUUCACAGUGUGAUAAUUUCUACUGUCCAAUAAACUGAUUCAGUUAUGUAUAAACACAUCCAUUAUUUUUCAGAUUCUUUUCCCAUAAAGAUUAUUACAGAAUAUUGGGUAGAGUUGCCUGUGCUAUACAGUAGUUCCCUGUUGGCCAAUCAUUCCAUAUACCACGGUGUAUGUACCAAUCGCAUACUGCCAGUCCAUCACUCUACCAGCCAUGUCCCCUUUGAUAACCAUAAGUUUGUUUUCAAAGUUAAUGAGUCUAUUUCUGUUCUGCAAAUAAUUGUACUUCUCUGAAUUUUCAACUUGUCCUUAAGCUGACUUACCUCAUGAUUGCAACAAGGCUGCCAGCUAUAACAUCCGUGACUACCAGGUUUUGUAUAGAUCUAGGGGAAGACAGGAAUUUUCUUCUCCUAGCCAUGAAAUAAAUAUUCUCAGCCUUACUUUUGCGAGAAUAAUUCAGUUACAUACUCACUCCUAAACCAUUAACUGUAUCAGUGGAAUCCCAAGUUCUGACUAGCUUUGCUUUAGCUCUGUUAUCAUACUUGAAUCCAAAAAUGAUGCAAAUAGCCUAGAGUUAUCGGAGUCCUCCUUUGGAGCUGGGUUGGGGUCAAUCUUUCUCAUAUAACCUACCUUCUGUAUAUAACCUUUCCUUCUUAUAGGAAGAAUGAAAGAGAUGAUUUCUCUACAGUUGCCCUCACCAGUGAGAAAUGUCUAUGUUUCUUUCAUUAAAUUACCAUAUUCUUUUGUAUAAUCUCCUCAAGAUUUCUAAGGCAUCAUUUUUUUUAAUUUAAUAAACUAAGAUGUUUCCAUGAGGGUAUUCCCAAGAAAAUGUAUGGUUCUUUAGAGUCAAUAGGCUGCUUUUAGUGUGCUAGAAAAUUAGAGCAAUUUAGGCAUAGUAGAUAAGAGCAGCCCCAUGGAAGAUUAGCAGGGAGCAUCUUUGAGGGUGCCACAAAUUAAAUAGUUCCUGACAAACGACUGAUCAUUUUAAAAAAGUUUGGCAUUUUUAAAGGCUAGAGAGAAGAAGUCUGUCUCAAUCAAUGAGGGGCUAUUCCUUGCUCUAAUUUAGGCACUUUUGGAUAAGAUGAGUCACUGAUAAACUCGAAUGAAAUGACUCAUAUCUUUGUGUAUUGGAAGACUCUUAACAUGUACUCUAUCAAUCCUGGAGAAUGAUUUCACUCUGUAUUUGAAAGUCAAAUUGAAGGCCUCUUUUUUUUUUGUAAGUCUAUCUGACACAAUAGGCUAUAAUGGAUCUUUUAGCUUCUUUGGGUCCAAACUACUCAUAAAAUUAUUCACUGUAAUGGCUUCUUUGGAGCAGUGACAGGACUUGAUAUAAAUGCUUGUUAAGAACAGCCAGCUUUACUGAUUACAUCUCCCAGGGAUGGCAAAUAGAACCUUUAGAGAUGGCAAGUAUUUUGGAGACAAGGCACUACUUUAUCAGAUGACAAGACAACAAGUCAGGAAAGAACCAAUGAGAGUUACUGAUUCAGAGUGCAUGCUAGUCUUAGAGCCUGAAGGAUUUUAUACAUAUGGAUUUUGGGGCACAAUGUGUUUUACACAGAUUGAAAUGUACAUAUAAAACUAUAUUGAAAAUACAGUGCAAAAAAUUAUAUGAAUAUUUUUGUUUCAAGUACAGGGUGUACAAACACCAAAUACAUAUUUGUUGGAUGGAUAAAUAAAGUAGGUACACUAUUUUACUUGCUAAUUUUUCAUGAUUUUUAAAAGGUAAUUAGUGAUUCUGAAAUGUGUUCUUCAUAGAAGACAUGAAGGUAUAGUUUACCAACCUCUAUUCCCAUAAUAAUUUGGCCUGUUUUUAUUUAACCUAUCUUCCAAGAAAUGAUGAGGAAUAAACUUUCUCAAGAAGAUUCUGUUUAUAUUUCAGAACAUAAGAAAAUUUACUGAUUUGUUUGGUACCUCGUAUGCUUGGAAUGAACAUAAUUAAGACUAUCUAAAUACAAGAUCCAGUAUCACAUUUAGGAUUGAGCUGUACCAACAACACCACAGAAUAUUUCCAGAGCUAACCUACCAUCUGCCUACCCUGAUGAAAAGCUGCAUGAAACAGAAUCACCUACAGAUGGGACUCUGAAAAAAAUCAGGAUUCUUUUGUCAUUAAUUUUUAUGUUGUGAAGGAAUAGACAAGUACACAGCUAAAAGUACUAAAAACUAAUUAACAGCAGACCCAGACUGCUUUUGCUUUUCAUAGGCUGUUAGAACUGUUAUUGUUAAUCAAGGUAACUUUCUUAUACAUAAGAAAGCUCAAGCAGGUUGGAGAAUUCAUUCUUGGGCUCUCAGUUGCUAGAUAGUAAAAUUGAUGGCAGUUGGAACCAUUUGACAUUUUCUCUGCAGUUUUGAAGCUAGAGGUAGUAUCAUAAAUUGGUAUUUGUAGUCUUCUAGCCCAGCCUUACUGCAUUUGGAUCAAUUUUCAUUUUAUUCUAAGUGCAAUGGGAAGUCUUUGGGAGAUUUUUAAAUAAAAGAGUGGUGUGAUUUAAUUUACAUUUUAAUAAGAUACUGUUAUUGCUACUGUGUGAACAGAGGAUGGAUUGGAGAGUAGCAAGAGUGGGAAUAGGAAGACAAAUUAGGAUGCUCCUAUAAUAAUCAAAUGAGAGAUUUAGAGUUUAAGGAUGGGAAUGAUGGCUAUGGAAUAGAAAAACUGACACACUGAUAAUAUUUUAAAAAUAGAAAAAUAAAAUGUAGUUAGAGAGGGAAAAUUAACAAUAAUUCCUAGAUUUCUGGAUUUGAUAAUGGAAUGGAUGGUGGGAUGGUGGUGCCAUAUACAGGUAUGAGAAAGUCUAGGUAGAAUAGUAUUUUUAGGGAUAUUUUUGGUGAGGAAUUAAUAUCCACAUCUAUAUCAUACUACCAGGUUUGAUUUAAAUGCCUUUCCUUUGUACUCCCAUGGUAAGCAUGGUUUUUGUUUGUACUGUGAAAUAA
rnacentral:lncRNA from 1 species